UCACCGUCCUGUUCAGCUGCUGUUUCGAAUUAUCUAUAAAUAGCUGCAUUAUCGUGAAACUGCACACUGCAUUAUAACACACAUUGGCAUAUUGAUCUGCAGCAGUGAACCAAUACACAACAUUCCUUUCAUGUGACGACUUUGCUUUCCUUUCCCAUCACUCCUUGUAAGCCUUUUAACUCUCACUUCUAUUUACCAUGGGUAACUCCACUUCCAUGCCCUUUGAGGGAUCCCUGAGGCUGCACCUACCCUUUGUGGCACAUGGUUCCCAAUUUGCUGGUGGUAUUACUGACAUAGCAGUUCUUUGAGCGGGAGAAGCCCAUGAAUGUCAGGGACGAAGUAGGCAGCAGAUCCUGAACCCCAUGCCUCUAGACCAUGUUGAUGGCCUUCUGAUCGGCACUAUUUCCCAUAUCUCUAAAUCUCUUGGAUGACCUGUAAUAUUUAGAAAUGUUGAUAUUUAUUCAGGUAGUUAAAUAUUUUAAGUAAUAUAAAGAUUAUUUUAGAAUUGCAAAGUGUAUCCAAAAACACUUUACUUAUGUAAAUUCAUUAAAGGCGUUAAAUACCCAGCCUCGCUUACAUUUUUAAUGAAUGGCAUUGCAUUGGGUACCUCCGCCAUGGAUGGUGUAAAGCUGAUUUGAGGUGUACCCGGACCCUCAGCUCUGUAUGAUGAGGAUAUGGUGCUGGACCAGAUGCUGACUCCAGCGACAGAACACGAGGUUAGAUGUGCUGUAUGUUGUAGCAUUCGGAUGUGGAAGUCCAGACGCAUUCACUGCGGCUGACUGGUUGUUCUCUGUGGAACCUCAGACUGCACAUUAGCAUGAUCCAGCCUAAUGUCUAAGUAUACUUCAGUUCUUUGUUGGUAUUUUAUUUGCUGGUGAUUUGCUUAUUGGUUCAGUUGGAACAUCUUUCUGCUUUAUAAUCUUUCCAUUGGAACUUCUUAUUCUCAUGUAGCCUACUUACUUGUUAGUGCACCCUAACUAUAUCUACAUCUCUUGUUUCGGUCUGUAAUACAACUAUUCUGUAGCAUAAUAAUUCCAUGUAUUUUCCAGCAAUUACUUGCAGCAUUAAAGAUGGUUUAAUCACAAAAGAAAGCCGAACAGAGAAUUAUUCAGUCUUUUUAAACCUGCCAGCUGAGGUUAAUCUGAGAAAUACAAGUUAACUAUAGAGGACAAGUUAUGCAUGUACACAGUGUGGAAAUUUCAGUGUUGCAGUGCCAUUACUGAACCUUUGCUAAAAUUGUGCAUUUAACUUGAUCUACGGUGUGCUUCCGUUUUUACCAAAGAUCCUAUAGGAAGCAAGAUAGUGCACUCCUGCUAAAACCAAUGGGCUGACGUGGAGUAUGCUACGGAGCGGAACAUCAGCCUUUUCGUCGGCCAUUUCAGUAAACCCGACCUGACUUUGUAUAUCCCUCUCGCAGUGUAAUCAGCGUUGCGGGGGGAACAGUUUGUGUGUGUGAUAUAGUG